ensembl:lncRNA
UAGUUGAUUUACAAUGUUCUGUCAAUUUCUGCUGUAUAGCAAAGUGAAUGUGGGUGGGUGUGUAUAGAUAUAUUACUUAUACACAUCAAAUGCAAUAGUUUGCAUCUACUCCCAGUCCAUCCCACUUCCUCCCCUUUGGCAAAUACAAGUCUGUUCUCUAACUUCAUGAGUUUGUUUCUUUUCUGUAGAUAGGUUUAUCUGUGCCAUUUAUCAGAUUCCAGAUAUAAGUGAUAUUAUAUGGUAUUUGUCUUUCUCUUUUUGACUUAUUUCACUUACUAUGAGAGUCUCUAGUUCCAUCCAUGUUGCUGUAAAUCGCAUUACUUUGUUCUUUUUUAAUGACAGAGUAGUAUUCCGUAGUGUAUAUAUACCACAUCUUCUUAAUCCAUUCAUCUCUAGGUGGACAUUUAGGUUGUUUCCAUGUCUUGGCUGUUGUGAAUAUGAUUCCAGUAAUAAAACUUCUGCCCCAGGGCAGAUAGGCAGCCUCCAUGCUCCUCUUCAAGACUCUCAGGAGGAAGACCAAAAUACACCUGAUCCAAUAGCCAACCCACGCUUAUCCCCAGCCCAGAGCAGUUUCCCCUCAACAAGUUCUUGGAGGUGGGGGACAGUUGACCACUGUCUCCUGGCUGAUGCCUUCAGUUGUACUAAGGGAGGUCAUUUGCUUUCUUUCCUUCUAGGAGUAAAAUUUAAGCACAUCUAAAACUUCUCUAUCCCAGACACCUGUUUCAUAGGCUGGCAUCUCUUAGCCACUGCUGGACAGGAAAACAGUAGUGAUGUUUCUUACAGGCAGCUCACCAAAUGUGGAAGGUGAAGGAAUAGGAACACCUGAAAAGUCAUCGGGGACCCUCGUAGGACACCCUUCCUGCCAAGUAGCAACUCUCUUCCCAAGCUAGGCACCUUUCACAGCCUCCCUCACUUAUCAAUAAUCCAAACAGCUAACACUUACUGAAUACUUUCUAUGUGCCAGUUUUAAGCAAUAUAUAAAUAUAUAUUCAAUUAAUCCUCAAAACAGCCUAAGAGAUAUGUACUGAUGUUAUCUGCUUUUUACAGAUGAGGGAACAAAAGCACAAGAGAAGUUAAGAAUCAUGCCCAAGAUCACAGAACUUGGACACCCCAGAGCCAGGAUCCAUACUCAGAGAGUCUGGCUUCAGAGCCAAGCCUUCUGGACCUCGGUUGUGACACAUGAAGUCACAUGAGACACCUUUACGAGUGUUGUAAGUUCUUUUCUCUAGCUGAGGUGUGUCUGUUCUGUGAAUAACAACGCUGGAGAGUUGCUUUGAGCUAUUUGGGUGGUAGGUUUAAGACGGGGCAGAGUGUGCUGGCAUGAGCACAUGGGGGAUGCAGUUGUUACCAAGAAAGAUGCUGCUUUCUGGGACACGUGGGAACUUUGUCUUGUGCAUAUGUAAGAGGGCACAGACAAGGCAAAAAUGCUCAAUCAAGUGAAUGCAAAAUCAAUCAGUGAGUGGAUGCUUUAAGAGACCCUGUGAGACCUUUGUUCUCCUGUCUUCCCAGUGACUGGGUUGCCAUUAUUAUUACAUAGUGUUCUUUUGAGUCUUCUGCACUUGGCUUCUGGGGGCCCUAUGUUUUCCUCCCAUUCUGACACAGCCCCACUGCGGGAUCUGGAUUUGAGAGAAGGCUUAGGACCACAGGGAAAAGUUUUAAAGGACUGUGCUCUGAGUUGAAGGCAGAAAGGCUAACAAGUAAGCACUUUCCUGCGAGUGCCUUUUGUCACC